rnacentral:ncRNA from 2 species
GUGGUGAAUGAAAGGAGAGAAGGUCAGUACUCCCGUUGACAAGGAUGGAAGAGGCCCUUGGGCCUCACAACAUGCAUAUGGUUAAGGCAAUGCCACCUACUUCGUGGCAUUUAACCAUCGUUUUUC